rnacentral:piRNA from 1 species
UAAGGGCUGAAAAUAUAGCCACUUGGCUA